GUUGUUACAAUCUCAGUACUAUUUUUUUAAUCUCUGUAACUUCCUAUAACCCAACCAUUUUUUUUUUGACCUUUGAAAUGUACCACACUGCAUAAACUGAGUAUCCACUGUGUGUUCUGCUCAUCCCAGUAAUUUUCAUCCUAUGGUCUCUGCAUGCUGUUAUUUUAGGUGUAUCUUUUACCAUUAUGCAAGUUAACAAGUUUGUAAUGUUAACUUGCAUAAUGGUAUCUUUUACCAUUAUGCACGUUGUUAACAUUACCCCAAAUUCUGCGGGCACAUAGCUGGGAACAAAUACCAGGUCAUUUUUCUUGUGUGUUGAGAAACUCUGUAACUGAAAUCCCUGACAAGUUAAAUGUUACUAGGUGGUGACUUGUAGCCUAAAACUGGUGGCUAUAGAUUCUCACCUGUGGAAAGGGACUCCUGUAGCUGUGCUCAGUUAUGUUCUUCCAGCUGCAGCUGAAUUUCUGCCACGUUAAGAUCCUUAAGCAGCUGCAGCAGUGUCACACUGAUCUAGCAUUUAGCUUCCUCAAAGCUCUGCUCAAAUAUUUGAACUCAGUAGAACACUGUGCUUUGAGUAGGCGAGUGUCACUACAGCUUUACAGAAAAAGAAACAGCCACUGAGAGGUUAAACCAGCUUUCCCUUACCACACAACAAGUCAAUGGUGGAGCUGGAAUUACAGCUUGGGAGGUUCCUGGCUCUUGCUGCACUACAAUGCUGUGUAGAAAGGUCACUUCCCAAAAUAGUACUGAAAGUUCCCAUUUGUUAUUGAUAAUAGGGCAACAAAGGGCUCUAGCUGUAUUAAUAGGUCACUGUAGAAUGUCCUUAAUAAUCCAUAAUUAGCAACCCUGCAAAAAUGGCAACAUUGCAUUUUGUUUGUGCGGUAUCACUUCCACAGUUAGUUUUGUCUACUCUCAGUAGGUAUUUUUAGUUUGUCUCUUCUAAAACCACUUUAUUUAAAGGAAACAGACACGUUCACAAAGUAGGUGUUAAAUAGCCUCCCCGUUAACUGUCAUGUUGGACCUUGUAUCGGACUCACCUUCAGAUCCGUUCAGCUCCCCUUCCUCUGUGAGUACGCGCUUGUCAUGGCACUUCGGAGUUUGACAGUCACUUUGAAGCUAUCAAGCAGACUUCUGUCUGCCUGGAAGAAAAAUGUGGGCUGUUGGAGAAGGCUGUGUAUUACCUUCUAUACCUUCUGUGUACUACCUUCUCCUAAGGCUGAUAAUAGAGGGUUUUUUUGGUGGCAACAUUUUCCCUGUGUUGUGUGACAGCAACCCAGCACUGGCAUACUUGGGCGGUGUAGCAGCUGAGAUGCAAGCAUGGAACUCCACAAAGGCACCAGGUUUGGUGGUCUCCAGGGCUUCCAGGAAGGAAGGCAAACCCCAUCACCAUACAGCUGGACAGGGGAAAGGAAGAAGAGAAGUCUUCAGUAAGUCCACUUCCACGGCUGGGCCUGUGAAGAGAAGAUUGGAGGGAUUUAGCAGUCUCCCUGUAGAAGCAGGAUAAUUGAUUUGAACUUGUUAUGACACUGCAACUUGUGAUGACUCUUGGGCUGCCCUCUGCAAGAACAGAGCAGGAGGAGGCAAGGCACCUUCCCAGAAGAGUAACAGCACAAAGUUCGCAGUUCCAAUGAAAUGAUGUCUGAGAAGUGCUGGAAAAGAAGCACAAGAGGAAAGACCGUCUCUGUGUGAACAUAGUCAACUUACCAUUCUCAACGUCAGCGCUAUAGAAGCCUUCCCUUCACAUAAGCAGUCACCAGCAGGAGGAGAGGACCGGUGGAUUCAGCACACGAGCAUUAACAGCACUGCAUUCUCUACCAGGUACUGAUAGAAGGCCUGGAAAUUAACAUCCCUCUCCCAGUAGAAAAAUAAAAUCUUUUCAGUUGAUUAGACCUUAACACUGUCCCAGCUGAGGGCAAAAGACAAUUAAAUUUAUUGAAUGUUAACGUUAAUUUAUAUUAAUGAAUAAUUUUUGUCUAAUGCAUACCCAGAUUUUUUUUUCCUUUGGUUAGCGUUUAUAAACUCUUUUUCUUAAGAUGUUAGGUAUCUUUUUGUGUUCAGUGUGGCCAAUAACAUCUUUGCUUAACCAGAGCUUUCCUGUCUAAUUUAAAUUGUUGCUAACAUCUUACCUCUUUUCUGUGUAUCAUCUUGUCUUGUUGGAGAAUAUGCCUCCAUUCCCCCCCGCCCCGCCCCCUUAAAUCAAGCCUAAAAUCUACUCAAGGUGGUCUAUAACAAGACAGGAAGGAAAAGAAAAAAGAAACUAAGGGUA